UACGUAGGGGGCAAGCGUUGUCCGGAAUCAUUGGGCGUAAAGAGCGUGUAGGCGGCUCGAUAAGUCCGCUGUGAAAGUCCAGGGCUCAACCCUGGAAGGCCGGUGGAAACUGUCGGGCUAGAGUCCGGAAGAGGCGAGUGGAAUUCCCGGUGUAGCGGUGAAAUGCGCAGAUAUCGGGAGGAACACCAAUGGCGAAGGCAGCUCGCUGGGACGGUACUGACGCUGAGGAGCGAAAAGCGUGGGGAGCGAACAGG
rnacentral:rRNA from 1 species